UACGUAGGGGGCAAGCGUUGUCCGGAAUCAUUGGGCGUAAAGCGCGUGUAGGCGGCUCGAUAAGUCCGCUCUGAAAGUCCGGGGCUCAACCCCGGGAGGCGGGUGGAUACUGUCGAGCUAGAGUCCGGAAGGGGCGAGUGGAAUUCCUGGUGUAGCGGUGAAAUGCGCAGAUAUCAGGAGGAACACCGAUGGCGAAGGCAGCUCGCUGGGACGGUACUGACGCUGAGACGCGAAAGCGUGGGGAGCAAACAGG
rnacentral:rRNA from 1 species